GACGAACGCUGGCGGCGUGCUUAACACAUGCAAGUCGAACGGAAAGGCCCUGCUUGCAGGGUGCUCGAGUGGCGAACGGGUGAGUAACACGUGGGUGAUCUGCCCCUUACUUUGGGAUAAGCCUGGGAAACUGGGUCUAAUACUGGAUAGGACCAUGCUGUAGGUGGUGUGGUGGAAAGAUUAGUUUCGGUAAGGGAUGAGCUCGCGGCCUAUCAGCUUGUUGGUGGGGUAAUGGCCUACCAAGGCGUCGACGGGUAGCCGGCCGGAGAGGGGGGACGGCCCGUUUGGGAGGGGCUCCGGGCCGCGCCCCCUGCGGGGGGCGGGGGUGGGGGAUAUGACAAAGUGGGCCAAGGCGUGAUGCCGCGACGCCGCGGGGGGGUGGCCGGCCUUCGGUUUGUAAUCUCCUUCAGGCCGUGACGAACCCUGUGGGGGGAGGGUGGGGGAAAAAGAAGCCCCGCCUAACUCCGUG
rnacentral:rRNA from 1 species